UGAGGAAUAUUGCGCAAUGGGGGCAACCCUGACGCAGCAACGCCGCGUGAGUGAGGAAGGUUUUCGGAUUGUAAAGCUCUGUCGAGCGGAAAGAAAUGCUUGGUGGUUAAUACCCAUCAUGCUUGACGGUACCGCUAGAGGAAGCACCGGCUAACUCCGUGCCAGCAGCCGCGGUAAUACGGGGGGUGCAAGCGUUGUUCGGAAUCAUUGGGCGUAAAGCGCGUGUAGGCGGCUUGACAAGUCAGAUGUGAAAUCCCUGGGCUUAACCCAGGAAGUGCAUUUGAAACUGUCUAGCUUGAGUAAGGGAGAGGAAAGUGGAAUUCCUGGUGUAGAGGUGAAAUUCGUAGAUAUCAGGAGGAACACCGGUGGCGGAUGCGACUUUCUGGCCCUAUACUGACGCUGAGACGCGAAAGCGUGGGUAGCAAACA
rnacentral:rRNA from 1 species